ensembl:lncRNA novel transcript
GUUCAUCGCCAGGGCUCUAAGACAGCGAGCCAUGUUCCUUCUUCUGGUGCUUCUCACUGGACUUGGUGGGAUGCAUGCAGACCUCAAUCCUCAUAAAAUCUUCCUGCAGACCACAAUUCCAGAGAAGAUUUCAUCAUCGGAUGCAAAAACAGAUCCAGAACAUAAUGUUAUUUACAUGAUUACCAUAGGGAAAGCCAUAUUUUGUCCAUCUCAAAAAGCAAUCAAUUUUAUCUUCAGCUUCUGUUAUUAAUUCUUAUGACGAAAAUGACAUCCGUCAUUCCAAACCUCUGCUAGUUCAGAUGGAUUGCAAUUAUAAUGGAUAUGUUGCGGGUAUUCCAAAUUCUCUUGUGACUCUCAGCGUAUGUUCAGGACUCAGGUUGUAGACUACUUAAAGAUACUCAAUUUGCCAGUAUUAUAUCCUGCUAGCCUAUGAAUUAAUUCUCCAUGUAUCUGUUCUAAUUCUAUAAUCACCUUUGUUAUAUUUCAGUUCCUUAAGGACUGAACCAAAAUUACUAAUAAAAUAGUAUUGAUAUUCUAGCAGUAUCUGUUCCUGAUGAGAGGCUACCUGUUGAUACUGACAGGAUCUGCUGCUUUAGGCUUUAAGAAAGGUUGAGUGUAGGGAGAUUGAUUGGUCUCCUCAUACUUUUUUAGUUUUCUCAAAUUCUGUUAUUGUCCAAUUUCCUAAUGUCCUAGAAAAAUUGACAAUUGUGGAAUGCAUGGGACUAAUGGACGCUGGCUCUGCAGUCAGUCAUUAUUAGGCAUAUGGUACCUUCAAUCCAGCCCACACAAACAAAUGAUUUAGGGUAUCAAGUGUCAGAGGAGAGUUAAGUGUAUCAAAGAGAAGGAAUCAAAGACUAAAGAAGAGACUGCCUAGAGAUUCUACAGGCUGGUUAGAAAAUAUACAUAAUAGAAAGGGGUUUCAACCUGUUUAAGUGCACAGAUCCAUGCCACCACCAUGCUUUCUUGAAGAUAAUCACAGAUUUGUAAUGUAAGGUAAUAUGUAUCCUGUGAUAUAGUCGUCUAGUUCUGGUGUAAGAAAGACCCCAAAAGAUAAAGAGAUAAAAGUAAA